AGAUUGAACGCUGGCGGCAUGCCUAACACAUGCAAGUCGAACGGGAGUAGCAAUACUCUAGUGGCGGACGGGUGAGGAAUACGUAGGAAUUUGCCCUUAAGUGGGGGAUAACCCGGGGAAACCCGGAUUAAUACCGCAUGACCUCGAAAGAGCAAAGUGGGGGAUCGCAAGACCUCACGCUUUUGGAGAAGCCUACGUCGGAUUAGCUAGUUGGUGAGGUAAUGGCUCACCAAGGCGACGAUCCGUAACUGGUCUGAGAGGAUGAUCAGUCACACCGGAACUGAGACACGGUCCGGACUCCUACGGGAGGCAGCAGUGGGGAAUAUUGGACAAUGGGCGCAAGCCUGAUCCAGCAAUGCCGCGUGUGUGAAGAAGGCCUUCGGUUGUAGAGCACUUUAAGUUAGGUAAGAAAAAAACGUACGACGUACUAACAACAACGUAGAGUACUUGACGGUACCGACAGAAUAAGACACCGACAACUCUGUGCCAGCAGCCGC
rnacentral:rRNA from 1 species